AAACUGGACCUAACUUAGUUUGGCCACCCUUUGCUGUCAAAAGACAGGAUUGAUGUUUCCAAGUCCUCCACACUUUGGAGAUCUCUCUUCCUCGAAAAGGGAGUUCUCUCCCAACUAAGUUCUUUGUAAUUAGAAGUUGUUGUAUCCAUUAACACGUGGAUCUCAGACAAGAGUGGUGCUAUGUAUUGAUGAAGGGUGUUCAAUUGAAUACCCUAAACUUAUAUAUGAUAUGUAAAGAGUGGUAGGUUAGCUUAGCCUUGAACCCCUGAACAUUCUGUUACCUUAAAAAUAACAGAACAUUUGGUCAAAAGUAGGAGACCACAUGACACCCAUAAAUAAAUAUCAAGUCUAACAGUGACACAAUUCAUCACUAGACAAUAAAAAUUCGCAUAGAAUUGAGUAGGUCAACCCUUAUCUCCCACUAACCUACCCUUGUAGUCUCAUUACCAAAAUGUGAGAUUUCCCAUUACAUUGGUUGGAGACACCAGGGGAUAUCCCAUUUUCUCGUCUUCUAUUGAUUCUAUUCUCUUAUUUUUUUAACAAGACUUUGUAUUCAGAAACUAUGUAUGGUGUAGAUAUAAAUUAGGUGUGUUGUUU